CCUUGGUGCUCUCUGACUCAACAUUUGUUCCUCUUCUAAUUGAGAAAGUGAGCUUAAAAAAUCUAGAAAGGGAAGCCAUGGAAUGUGAAAUCAUUCACAGAAUGGGCAUCAUGCAAAGGUGGGAAGCUUUUGAAGUUGAAAAGAUUAUGAAAGAAGGCAUGGCGAAGUAAAUGGCGUUGUCUUCCUACAACAACCCGAACCUUUUUCAACUGGCUAUGACCACUAAUGUGGAGGAGAUGGCUGCAAAUUGUCAGGGAAAGAAUCCACCUGAUAAACCACCUAACCCCAUGAUUGAAGAUCCAGGAUCAUCAGGAAACGGUGAGAGUAACUCUAAGGAACUCGGUUUGAUCUUGACCAGUGGGGAGCCACACUCUAAUUGAUCUGCAUCUCUGGUGACAUCUUUCUCCUAUUUCUUUUAACGAAAUUUUUAUUCUGACAUUAUCGUGGUGUUGGUGGAAGUUCUUUUACUGUUUUAAUUAGAGAUGUUAAAAAAGAAUAUCAUGUUAAUUUUUUUGUUCUCCUUGAAACUUAUAUUAGUGGGGGAUAAAGGAACUAAUAUUAGAAAUAAGUUGCCUUUAAUUUUGACAGUUGUUUUAUAAAGAAAGCCAGAGGACACUCUGGAAGUAUUUGGUGAAAUUUCGAUGAAUGGAGAGUGGAUAUUUUGUAGAGUCAUCAAUAAUUCAUAUAUAUGAGGAUGCUGGAAAAGUACUUACAGCCACGGUUUUUACUGUAGUGUAUGGGGGUCCUCAAAGAGUACAUAGAAGAGAAUUCUGGAGAAACUUGAGGAAGCUGAGUUUGCAGAAUAGUCUCCCUUAGUGCCUGGUUAAGGAUUUCAAUGUGCUUAUGCAUAAUUUUGAAAAGACAAGGAAGAGGAGCCACUCAAUUUAAUGGUGCAUGUGUUGAUUUUCAGGAGUGUGUUUCUGACUAUGGACUUUUAGACUUGGGAUACUCAGUAUAUCCUUUUAUCUGGAAGAGAGGGAACUUGGUCAAAAGAUUAGAUCGUAGUCUGAGCAAUAUGAAUUGGCAAAUCAGAUUUUUGGAAGCUACGAUAAAGCACUUACCUAGAUUAAUCAUGCAUGCUCCUCUCUAUCUCUAACUCUUUACUUUUCCCUCACCUAACAAAUGGCGAAGGCCAUUUAGAUUUUUAGCAUCUUAGUUAUCCCAUCCGGACUUCAAUAAUAUGAUUACUAAUCAUUAGAAAAUAAUUGGUCCCAAGGUGUUACGAACUUUAUAGAUUCUCUUAAAGUAUGAAAUUUCACUGUCUAUGGGAUUAUCUUUAGAAGGAAAAGUAGAAUUCUAACGAGAUUGCAUAGUAUCACGAAUAGAUUGAGUGUGAAUCACAAUCUUUAUCUGGAAGAUCUCUAAGUUACUCUUUGGAAAGAUUAUGCAGAGCUCCUUUUCCAAGAAGAGAUGUUAUGGUUUCAAAAAUCUAGAUGCAAAUGGAUAGAGUACAGCAAUAGAAAUACUAAAUAUUUUCAUGAUACUACUAUGGCCAGAAGAAGGAGGAACAAGAUUACUUUUUUGCAGGAUGAGGCUGGUAAUUGGAUACAUGAUAGUCACACCUUUGAAGUAAUGGCCACAACUUUCUAUACCAAUCUAUAUUGUGAUUAUCUCCUUAAUGUUUCCUUUGUGAUUAAUGUGCUUUUUCGGCAUUAAGUGAUGAAGAUAGGACUCUGAUUGGUGUAAUGUCUACUACAAGGAAAUUAAAGAUUCUCUUUUCAUCAUGGGUAGCUUCAAGGUUCCGGGAAAAGAAGGUAUUCAUGUAGGCUUUUACCAGAAUAAAUGGGAUCUUGGGGGACUGGAUUUGUGCACGAUGAUUGAGAAUAUUUUUGCGCACCCUUAGGAAAUCAAAGAGCUAAAUGAGACGCUUAUUACGCUUAUUCCUAAGAUGGAGCCUGUUACUAAUCUAAAGCAAAUGAGACCUAUCAGCUUAUGUAAUUUAUCUCGUACAAAGUGAUUACCAAAAUUUUGGCCCAAAUGCUGCGGGGGGUUGUGGAAAAGUUAGUGCGGCCAACCCAGUGUAGUUUCAUCCUAGGGAGGCAUAGUUCUGACAAUAUUAUCAUUACACAAAAAGUUAUCCAUACUAUAAGGAAUAAAAAAGGUCUGAAAGGAUGGAUGGUGAUUAAAAUCGAUCUGGAAAAGGCUUAUGACAAACUCAAGUAGAAUUUUAUUGAAGACACUCUGGAUGAUAUUGGGAUGCCCUCUCAGUUUUUCAAUGGUAGCCAGUUGUAUUUCAUCUGUGAGGAUGAGGAUUCUAUAGAAUGGGGAAACCUUGGACGAGUUCUCUCCUUCAAGAGGAAUUUGGCAAGGUGACCCUAUUGCCGUUACAUUUUUGUCUUCUGUAUGGAAAGACUCUCCCAUCCUAUUAAUGCUGGUGUAGAUCAUAGCUUUUGGAAGCCCAUCAAGCUGAACAGAGAGGGCCUUGAGCUUUCUCAUCUAUGUUUUGCUGAUGAUUUAAUUCUCUUUGCCAAAGCAACUAUGGACCAAGCUGAAGUUAUUAAUAAGGUGCUUGAGGCAUUCUGCUCUAGUUCAGGUCAAAAGGUCAGCAAUGAAAAGAAACGUGCCUUCUUCUCGAAUAAUAUGGGUAAUAAUGUGAGAAGUCAGAUAAGCAGUAUCCUUAAGUUCCCUAGAACUGAUGACUUGGGGAAGUACCUUGGUGUUCCUCUCCUCCACUCCAAGGUCUCGAAAAACACAUACAGUGACAUUAUUAACAAUAUAACCUCUAGACUAGAUAGUUGCAAAGCUACUUCAUUGUAUCUAGCAAGAAGAACCACACUGAAAUUUUCUUUGAAGAGAGACGGAACAAUCUAGAAAAAUUCAUCUCAUCAAUUAGAGGGAUCUUAGCAGGCCAAAAGCUUCGGUAGGGCUUGGCAUCCGCCGUGCUUGUGAAGUUAAUCAAUCUUUUAUGAUGAAGAGUAGCCUUAUGAUGAAAAAGGAUGCUUUAUGGGCAAGGAUGGUUAGGGCCAAAUACAAAUGUGGGAGCGAUUUGCUGCCGAGGGUCGAAAGGAAAAAUAACUCCUCGAAUCUCUAGAAAGAGAUAUGUUCGGCUUGGAAGGGGGUCGAUGAGAAAUAAUAUCUGGCGCAUUGGGAUGGCGCUAACAUUAAGUUUUGGAGUCAUAACUGGAUACCCAAUCUUGGAUCUUUAACCUAAUAUUCAGAACAGGUAAUAACAGACUCUAAAUCAAGUUUGUGUCUAAUUGGUUUUCUUUCGGUUUCAGGUGAGUGGUAUGAGAGUAAGCUCAAGGAGUGGCUCCCUGAUUACAUUGUGAGAAGAAUCCAAGCACUAUCGCCUCCGUCUCCAUGGAAGGGUCCAGUUUCUAUUGCUUGGACACUAACUUCUGAUGGGACGUUUAGCCUCAAAUCAGCCUACAGAUUCAUAUCGAAUUUCAAGGUAGUUUGGAAGUGGUGCGAUCCAGAAAGAAUUCAUUCCUUCAUGUGGCUGAUUGCUAACGACACAAUCCUAGCAAAUGUGGAAAGAAGGAGAAGACACCUAGUAACGGAUGCCAACUUUCCCAGAUGUAACCGUCAAGAAGAGAACUCCUUUCAUGUUCUCAGAGAUUGUUUCUAUGCCAAGUGUGUGUGGAGUCUCUUGAAACCUCAUGAGGUUGUGUUCGAAUUCUUUAACCUCAGCCUCAAGGAUUGGUUGACUAGGAAUCUAUCAGCAAUAAGUGACUAGGCUUGUAAGUUUGGAGUAACUAUCAUUUCUCUUUGCUUCUA